CUGCAUUUCUUCCUCUGUGCUGAUGGGCAAAAGGACUUUUGCCACAGGCAUCAUAAUACAGCUGGGGCUGCAUCAUAAUGCAGUUGAGCUGGGGCUCAACUGCCCAGUUGAAGUCUUGUCUAUGAAGCAUCUAUUUUUUUCUCUAAGUGAAUUAAUGUAUCAUUUCAUCCAUUGUAAAGAAUAAUAAAGCUCAGCCCUUGCAGAGUGCGUUAGGGGGUUACACCUGCUGGCAGCACUGGCACAUCUACAUACUCAUGCGUUCCUAUAGUGGCUAGUGCAACGCAGUUCAGAUUGUGAAAUCAGCGCCAAUGUGAGCCACAAGUUUGGUGCAGAGCAGGAAAUUGGCAUACAGGAAGAACUGCUUGUGACUGAACACCGCCCAGUUAAACUUCAGCUACCCUACAAAGAGCGCUUCAGGACAUUCAGCUACUAGGACAGCAAUACUGCCCAGAAGCUUUCCUACCAUCUUCAUUAGCUGUGAAGAAGCAGGUCUGACAGAAGCUCCCAGGCUGUGGAAUCUGCCAGAAGCAAAAGCAGCAGUCUGAGGCCAAUGGAAAGAUUGUCACAUUCCAAGGAGAGCCCCUUCUGUCCACAACAUCUCACAGCAGUGAGUCCUGGAAUGGCAAUUCAGAGCUGGCCCACACAGUGUAUUAAAAAUUGAUUUCAGUUGAGAUAAGACUGUAAAGCUAUAACAGCCAAACCUCAAGAAAGGAAUGAAGCGCAAUUAUCUUCAAGUUUUUAUACUGAUGAGAAAAAGCUACAAGGUCAUGGGGAAUAGCAUAGGAAGAAUUGUUUUGGCAUGGAAAAUUAAAAUAUAACAAAACUGCAUAAGCCCUGAAAUAGAGACCCAGUGAUCUCUUGAAUGGCUACAAUUUCCAAAGCCUUUUUCUGCCUUCGGAGAAAGUUUCUGCAUAUCACAGCAAGGCUGCAAUUACUCCAGCACUGCAGAAAUGUGCUCAUGCUAAAGAAAGAGCCUAAUUAUCCUCCUAUUUCCAGCU